rnacentral:rRNA from 1 species
GCGCAGCAGUCGAGAAACUUUACAAUGUGCGAAAGCACGAUAAGGGAACUCUGAGUGCCUCCUAAGGAGGCUGUUCAGGUGUCUAAAAGCACCUGAAGGAAGGGCUGGGUAAGACCGGUGCCAGCCGCCGCGGUAACACCGGCAGCCCAAGUGGUAGCCACGUUUAUUGGGUCUAAAGCGUCCGUAGCCGGCUGGGUAAGUUCCUUGGGAAAUUUGGCUGCUUAACAGUCAAGCUUUCAGGGAAUACUGCCCGGCUUGGGACCGGGAGAGGUCAGAGGUACUCCAGGGGUAGGGGUGAAAUCCAUUAAUCCUUGGGGGACCACCGGUAGCGAAGGCGUCUGACCAGACCGGGUCCGACGGUGAGGGACGAAGGCUAGGGGCGCGAACCGGAUUAGAUACCCGUGUAGU